CCUACGGGAGGCAGCAGUAGGGAAUAUUGGACAAUGGACGCAAGUCUGAUCCAGCCAUCCCGCGUGAAGGAUUAAGGCCCUAUGGGUUGUAAACUUCUUUUCUUUGGGAAUAAAAAGCGGUAUUCAUAUCGCCUUGAAGGUACCAGAGGAAUAAGCACCGGCUAACUCCGUGCCAGCAGCCGCGGUAAUACGGAGGGUGCAAGCGUUAUCCGGAUUCACUGGGUUUAAAGGGUGCGUAGGUGGCUUUGUAAGUCAGCGGUGAAAGCCUGGAGCUCAACUCCAGAAUUGCCAUUGAUACUGCAGAGCUUGAAUCAAGUUGAGGUGGAUGGAAUAUUACAUGUAGCGGUGAAAUGCUUAGAUAUGUAAUAGAACACCGAUUGCGAAGGCAGUUCACUAAGCUUGUAUUGACACUGAGGCACGAAAGCGUGGGGAUCAAACAGGAUUAGAUACCCUGGUAGUCCACGCCCUAAACGAUGCAAACUCGACAUUAGCGAUAUACAGUUAGUGUCCAAGCGAAAGCGUUAAGUUUGCCACCNGGAGACGACGCGAGUAGAACGACGAAGAGUAGUAGCGNGAGAGAGACGACGACGACGACGAGGGAGGAGGAG
rnacentral:rRNA from 1 species